UGGUAUCCUGGGCACCUAGUAUGAGU
rnacentral:piRNA from 1 species